UGGGGAAUAUUGCACAAUGGGCGCAAGCCUGAUGCAGCGACGCCGCGUGGGGGAUGACGGCCUUCGGGUUGUAAAACCCCUUUCGGUCGGGGAACAAGCCCCUUGGGUGAGGGUACCCGCGGAAGAAGCGCCGGCUAACUACGUGCCAGCAGCCGCGGUAAUACGUAGGGCGCGAGCGUUAUCCGGAAUUAUUGGGCGUAAAGAGCUCGUAGGCGGUUUGUCGCGGUCUGCUGUGAAAGCCCGGGCUCAACCCCGGGUCUGCAGUGGGUACGGGCAGGCUGGAGUGCAGUAGGGGAGACUGGAAUUCCUGGUGUAGCGGUGAAAUGCGCAGAUAUCAGGAGGAACACCGAUGGCGAAGGCAGGUCUCUGGGCUGUAACUGACGCUGAGGAGCGAAAGCGUGGGGAGCGAACA
rnacentral:rRNA from 1 species